GUGGGGAAUAUUGCACAAUGGGGGAAACCCUGAUGCAGCGACGCCGCGUGGAGGAAGAAGGUCUUCGGAUUGUAAACUCCUGUUGUUGAGGAAGAUAAUGACGGUACUCAACAAGGAAGUGACGGCUAACUACGUGCCAGCAGCCGCGGUAAAACGUAGGUCACAAGCGUUGUCCGGAAUUACUGGGUGUAAAGGGAGCGCAGGCGGGAGAACAAGUUGGAAGUGAAAUCCAUGGGCUCAACCCAUGAACUGCUUUCAAAACUGUUUUUCUUGAGUAGUGCAGAGGUAGGCGGAAUUCCCGGUGUAGCGGUGGAAUGCGUAGAUAUCGGGAGGAACACCAGUGGCGAAGGCGGCCUACUGGGCACCAACUGACGCUGAGGCUCGAAAGUGUGGGUAGCAAACAGGAUUAGAAACCCUUGUAGUCC
rnacentral:rRNA from 1 species